GGCCUACCAUGGUGGUAACGGGUAACGGGGUGUUAGGGCACGACACCGGAGAGGGAGCCUGAGAAACGGCUACCACAUCCAAGGAUGGCAGCAGGCGCGCAAAUUACCCAAUCCCGACACGGGGAGGUAGUGACAAUAAAUAACAAUACGGGGUUCUUUCGGAUCUCGUAAUUGGAAUGAGUACAAUUUAAAUCUCUUAACGAGGAACAAUUGGAGGGCAAGUCUGGUGCCAGCAGCCGCGGUAAUUCCAGCUCCAAUAGCGUAUAUUAAAGUUGUUGCAGUUAAAAAGCUCGUAGUUGAAUUUCGGGGUCAGCAGGUCGGUCGUGCCACUGGUAUGAACUGGCCUCGCUGAUCCCUCCCUCUUGACGAACUGUGAUGCCAUUAAUUUGGUGUCGCAGGGAAUCAGGACUGUUACUUUGAAAAAAUUAGAGUGUUUAAAGCAGGCUCACGCUUGAAUACAUUAGCAUGGAAUAAUGAAGUAGGACGUUUGAUCCUAUUUUGUUGGUUUCUAGGAUUGACGUAAUGAUUAAUAGGGAUAGUUGGGGGCAUUAGUAUUCAAUUGUCAGAGGUGAAAUUCUUGGAUUUAUUGAAGACUAACUACUGCGAAAGCAUUUGCCAAGGAUGUUUUCAUUAAUCAAGAACGAAAGUUAGGGGAUCGAAGACGAUCAGAUACCGUCGUAGUCUUAACCAUAAACUAUGCCGACUAGGGAUCGGAUGAUGUAAUUUUUAAUGACUCAUUCGCGCCUUACG
rnacentral:rRNA from 1 species